rnacentral:rRNA from 1 species
UACGGAGGAUGCAAGCGUUAUCCGGAUUCAUUGGGUUUAAAGGGUGCGUAGGCGGGCUAUUAAGUCAGUGGUGAAAUCCUGCAGCUUAACUGCAGAACUGCCGUUGAUACUGAUAGUCUUGAGUUUGGUUAAGGUAGGCGGAAUGUGUAAUGUAGCGGUGAAAUGCUUAGAUAUUACACAGAACACCAAUUGCGUAGGCAGCUUACUGAGCCGACACUGACGCUGAGGCACGAAAGCAUGGGGAUCAAACA